UGAAUACGAGAUGCUACGGCGUCGGAGCAAUCUAUGUCAUACUUCCAAGAAAAGCUCGCACUGUCAUAAACAAAUAAUGCCUGUACCAUAACCGACACAGGUGGGUAGGUAGAGUAUACUAAGGGGCGCGAGAUAACUCUCUCUAAGGAACUCGGCAAAAUGACUCCGUAACCUCGGGAGAAGGAGUGCCUUAUUUAUAAGGUUGCAAUAACAAGAUCCAAGCAACUGUUUAUCAAAAACACAGGUCUCCGCUAAGUCGUAAGACGAUGUAUGGGGGCUGACGCCUGCCCAGUGCCAGAAGGUUAAAGAAGUUGGUUAGCAUUCGCGAAGCUGAUAACUGAAGCCCUGGUGAACGGCGGCCGUAACGAUAACGGUCCUAAGGUAGCGAAAUUCCUUGUCGGGUAAGUUCCGACCCGCACGAAAGGCGUAAUGAUUUGGAUACUGUCUCGGAGAGGGGCUCGGUGAAAUAGACUUGUCUGUGAAGAUGCGGACUACCUGCACCAGGACAGAAAGACCCUAUGAAGCUUUACUGUAACUUGAGAUUGAAAUUGGACUUUACUUGCGCAGUAUAGGUGGGAGGCGUUGAUAAUAUUCUUGCGGGAUUAUUUGAGCCAUCAGUGAGAUACCACUCUUGUAAUGUUAGAUUUCUAACUUUGUAUCAUUAUCUGGUCAAAGGACAGUUUCAGGCGGGCAGUUUGACUGGGGCGGUCGCCUCCUAAACGGUAACGGAGGCGCACAAAGGUUUCCUCUGAACGGGUAGAAAUCGUAUCUAGAGUGUAAAGGCAUAAGGAAGCUUGACUGUGAGACCUACAAGUCGAGCAGGGACGAAAGUCGGUCUUAGUGAUCUGACGGUGCUGAGUGGAAAGGCCGUCACUCAACGGAUAAAAGUUACUCUAGGAUAACAGGCUGAUCUCCCCCAAGAGUUCACAUCGACGGGGAGGUUUGGCACCUCGAUGUCGGCUCAUCGCAUCCUGGGGCGGUAGUACGUCCCAAGGGUUGGGCUGUUCGCCCAUGAAAGCGGUACGCGAGCUGGGUUCAGAACGUCGUGAGACAGUUCGGUCCAUAUCCGGUGUAGGCGUUAGAAUAUUGAGAGGAGCCUUCUUUAGUACGAGAGGACCGAGAAGGACAUACCUCUGGUGUACCAGUUAUCGUGCCAACGGUAAACGCUGGGUAGCUAUGUAUGGAGUGGAUAACCGCUGAAAGCAUCUAAGUGGGAAGCCCACCUCGAGAUAAGUAUUCUCAUC
rnacentral:rRNA from 1 species